rnacentral:rRNA from 1 species
CUCGUAGGCGGUUCGUCGCGUCCGGUGUGAAAGUCCAUCGCUUAACGGUGGAUCCACGCCGGGUACGGGCGGGCUUGAGUGCGGUAGGGGAGACUGGAAUUCCCGGUGUAACGGUGGAAUGUGUAGAUAUCGGGAAGAACACCAAUGGCGAAGGCAGGUCUCUGGGCCGUCACUGACGCUGAGGAGCGAAAGCGUGGGGAGCGAACA